GACGAACGCUGGCGGCGUGCUUAACACAUGCAAGUCGAACGGAAAGGCCCUGCUUUUGUGGGGUGCUCGAGUGGCGAACGGGUGAGUAACACGUGAGUAACCUGCCCUUGACUUUGGGAUAACUUCAGGAAACUGGGGCUAAUACCGGAUAGGAGCUCCUGCUGCAUGGUGGGGGUUGGAAAGUUUCGGCGGUUGGGGAUGGACUCGCGGCUUAUCAGCUUGUUGGUGGGGUAGUGGCUUACCAAGGCUUUGACGGGUAGCCGGCCUGAGAGGGUGACCGGCCACAUUGGGACUGAGAUACGGCCCAGACUCCUACGGGAGGCAGCAGUGGGGAAUAUUGCACAAUGGGCGGAAGCCUGAUGCAGCAACGCCGCGUGCGGGAUGACGGCCUUCGGGUUGUAAACCGCUUUCGCCUGUGACGAAGCGUGAGUGACGGUAAUGGGUAAAGAAGCACCGGAUAACUACGUGCCAGCAGCCGCGGUGAUACGUAGGGUGCGAGCGUUGUCCGGAUUUAUUGGGCAUAAAGGGCUCGUAGGUGGUUGAUCGCGUCGGAAGGGUAAUCUUGGGGCUUAACCCUGAGCGUGCUUUCGAUACGGGUUGACUUGAGGAAGGUAGGGGAGAAUGGAAUUCCUGGUGGAGCGGUGGAAUGCGCAGAUAUCAGGAGGAACACCAGUGGCGAAGGCGGUUCUCUGGGCCUUUCCUGACGCUGAGGAGCGAAAGCGUGGGGAGCGAACAGGCUUAGAUACCCUGGUAGUCCACGCUGUAAACGGUGGGUACUAGGUGUGGGGUCCAUUCCACGGGUUCCGUGCCGUAGCUAACGCUUUAAGUACCCCGCCUGGGGAGUACGGCCGCAAGGCUAAAACUCAAAGGAAUUGACGGGGCCCCGCACAAGCGGCGGAGCAUGCGGAUUAAUUCGAUGCAACGCGUAGAACCUUACCUGGGUUUGACAUGGAUCGGGAGUGCUCAGAGAUGGGUGUGCCUCUUUUGGGGUCGGUUCACAGGUGGUGCAUGGCUGUCGUCAGCUCGUGUCGUGAGAUGUUGGGUUAAGUCCCGCAACGAGCGCAACCCUUGUUCACUGUUGCCAGCACGUUAUGGUGGGGACUCAGUGGAGACCGCCGGGGUCAACUCGGAGGAAGGUGGGGAUGACGUCAAGUCAUCAUGCCCCUUAUGUCCAGGGCUUCACGCAUGCUACAAUGGCUGGUACAGAGAGUGGCGAGCCUGUGAGGGUGAGCGAAUCUCGGAAAGCCGGUCUCAGUUCGGAUUGGGGUCUGCAACUCGACCUCAUGAAGUCGGAGUCGCUAGUAAUCGCAGAUCAGCAACGCUGCGGUGAAUACGUUCCCGGGGCU
rnacentral:rRNA from 1 species